AUUGAACGCUGGCGGCAUGCCUUACACAUGCAAGUCGAACGGUAACAGGUCUUCGGAUGCUGACGAGUGGCGAACGGGUGAGUAAUACAUCGGAACGUGCCUAGUAGUGGGGGAUAACUACUCGAAAGAGUGGCUAAUACCGCAUGAGAGCUUCGGAUGAAAGGCGGGGAUGGCACGACCUUGUGCUACUAGAGCGGCGGAGGACAGAUUAGGUAUUUGGUGGGAUAAAAGCUUACCAAGGCGACGAUCUGUAGCUGGUCUGAGAGGACGAUCAGCCACACUGGGACUGAGACACGGCCCAGACUCCUACGGGAGGCAGCAGUGGGGAAUUUUGGACAAUGGGCGCAAGCCUGAUCCAGCAAUGCCGCGUGCAGGAUGAAGGCCUUCGGGGUGUAAACUGCGUUUGUACGGAACGAAAAGCCCUGGGUUAAUACCCUGGGGUCAUGACGGUACCGUAAGAAUAAGCACCGGCUAACUACGUGCCAGCCGCCGCCGUAA
rnacentral:rRNA from 1 species